GUGUGUGCAUGUGUGUGCAGAAGAGGAGCUGAGGAGGGUUAGCCCUGUGCCCAGGACAGCAGGUGCAGAGGCUGAACUCGGGCGGGGGCAGCUCCUCCUAGCUGCUUGAUGGGUGGAUCUCCACUCCAGCUGGGUCUGCUGGCCAACUUUCUGCAAGCUGUGGCUUCUCUGAGGUUCUGGGCUCCACUGCUGCACAGCCAGCUGCACAGUGCCUUGUGGUGGCAGCCCCAGGUCGUUGCUGCAGUUGCUUUCCAUCCUGUGAUCUGGGGAUCCAGACAAGUGGUGUGGGGAGGUUCUGCGCCACUCCGUGUGCCCGGGGCCUCAGCUGGGAGGACUGGAGUGGCUGAGCCGCCCUGGGACAGUGGGCACUGCUGAGCCGCCACUGAGCAAGACAACAGUGAGGUACAAUCUUCUGCGUGACACUGGCCAUCACCAUGGUAACAACCUGAUUGCAGCUGGCUCACUGUUGCCCUGGACCCAGACUGAGAAGCAUCAGAGAAGAGGACAUGGAGGAGAAGGCAGCAUGGAAGGGUCCCUGGGCAAGGGCUUUGUGUAUGAGAAGAAGCAGGCAGAAGACCUGAAUGAACAAGUACCUUCGUGCUGUCUAUGUUUGCGUGUCUAGUCUGCCGAUCUACACACGCGCCUGGAAAGCAGCUCUGGAUGGAUCCCACCCGCCUUACCCUCCCCCUCUUCCCUUUCUCAGCCAGUGGCACUGCUGGCCCACCUCGCUGCUCCACCCAGGGCCCCGGCAUCCACUCCUACCUUGCUGAGCCUGUCACCAUCCCUCUCCCCCAGGUUUCUGCAGCUUCCCGGGCUGCGUUUCUUCCUGUACCUCUGUGUAGCUCCCUUUCAUUUCACCCCAAGACCCUCCCCGAGCUUCUUCAGCCUCUCUUGAGCUUCUCUGGAACAUGGUCUUCAAGCUCCUUCAACGCUCACGACCUUUCUGCCCUUUGGCUCAGAAUGCUCCCUCUGCCCCUUCAUGUGGCUGGCCAUCAUCUUGGAAUCCUCAGCUGACAUGCUACUUCAGAGGGACUUUCUCCAUCAACUGCCCUCUUCCAGGCUGAGUCCCUGGGUUCAUUUCUGACAUAACAGCCCAUUUGUUCUUCAAAACAUUUACUGUAAUAGGCAAUAUGAGAUAUUUUCUUUAUUGUUCAUGAUAAAAAAUUUCUGCCUAGAAUCUUGUACCUACAAGAGCAGGCAUUUUGUCUUGAUUAUUAUUGAUUAUUGGCAUCCAUAGCUGCUGUCUAAAUACUAGUUUAAUAAAUGAGUGACCUCCUGUGAUUGCUGCAAACAUCUGGACCCAGAGUCAACAUAACAUGAAAACAAUCUGCUGGCACAAGACUGGUAUUCAGUGAGUAAUGGGAAAAGAUGGGUGGGCACAGGCAGCAGGGUUACAGCGUGCUCUGUUUUCCUUCCCCUGGGAAGUGGCCCUGCUGCCGGUGUGACUGCAUUCAUCCCUAGCCCGUGCUUCGGAGGAAUGAUCUGGGCUUUGGAGGAAUGAUCUGGGCUUUGGGUUUCUUUAAGCAAAGACUUGAGAACUAAAAACAGAACCCCGAUUCACGACUUUGCUGCUGGCGUUUCCCUCCCAGGGGAGCCUCCCAUGCGGGAGGAAACCUUUCUUGGGGUGCAGCUUGACACGUGAUGUGAAGGGGACUGUGGGGCAUCAGCUCUGCCCAUAGGCAAGUUCUGAUGACCAGGAGACUCAGGCUGGACUGCGCAACUUUCUGGAAAAGUGCAGACUCCUUCUUCGAAUGCCACUGGGCUUUGUAGUUACUCACCUAGUUGACAACUUUUUGGAUAAACAUGGCAACGACGAACACCAACACGCAAGCAAAUGAUUCAUUCCAAAGUUUGAAAACAAAAGCCCAGUGGAUCCCAGGCAAGUCUAUUUACAGUCCACACAAUAAGCACAGAUAAUUGGACUAGGGUACAAGAGUAUCUCCUCUAUUGUAUUUUUUUCGGUUC